CACCGCGGUUAUACGGAGGACCCAAGUUGAUAAUUACGGCGUAAAGCGUAGUUAAGACAUAAAAUAAAAUAGGGCCGAAUGACCUCAAGACAGUAAAAUGUGUACGAGACCACUAAGCACAUCUAUGAAAAUGACCCUAAUUUCUCUGACCCUACGAAAGCUAUAAUA
rnacentral:rRNA from 1 species